AAGAGCCUCAGGUGGAUGCUAGAGCUCCCGACUGCUUGAAGCGAAGUAAACUGAGAACGGAUCAUCCAAUCAGACUGAGACUCAAUGCCAUGAAAGCAACAUGUCUCCCAAAAACUGGAUGAUUCAGGUUUUCCUUCUGGGCUUCCUCUGUCCUGUGGAUUUGUCCUUCUCAAAAUGGCAUCAAAAAAAGAUUGGAAAAUGUUGGGAAAACCAAACAUAUGUUGUCGCUGAUAACUUCUAUGGCAUCAUCACUGCAAAAGAUCAUUUCAAAGCAAA